CUAACAUGAUGUGGUCUCAUGAAUUGAUUGAUAAAGGUGGUUUAGUUAAACAGCAAAAUUAAGAAUAAAAAAUAGCUAUUUUCUGUGAACAAGAGUUAUGCUCCAUCAGAAAGUGAUGAAUUUUCUGUGAACAAGAGUUAAAAUAUUUAUAGCUAUUUUCGGAGCUAUGAUGGUUAAUCAAGAAAGCAACAAAAGAUUGUUUCUUAUCGAUCAAUACAGUUAUACUUCCUUAUACUACUCCUGGAUGUCAUAAUAUAAGGAAAUGCACAAUCUAUAAGCAGACCAGCGCAUUAUGUACGUUUAGCGGAGUAGGAUGGUUAGGGUCCUUAGAGGCUCAACAUUUCUAGCUCUACAACAGUGAAGAUACUUGUUAAACUGGCAGGGGUAAUACGCACAACAAGUUCAAAGAUUCUAAGGGUGAACUUCAGUUGAUGAGCGGUUCAAUUUAGCCCAUAGACGUUUGGCAUAGUCGUGGUGUUAUGUACCAUGUGCAGUUUAAUGAGUUCAACCAACCAAUUCGGAAAGGUGGGCAUAUCUUGGUGCGAUUUCUAGGAAGUGUAGCAAAGGAUGGGACCUAUUGUCCAAUUGGAGAAAAGAAUUGGCAUCAUGUUGAUGUGAAACUCAAAACUAAAAUUGUUAUGAAGAUGAGAGAACAUUUUGUGAUUCCUGAGGAUGAGGUCUAUGAUACAUUAGCUCUCCAACGUGUUAGCAAAUGUUGGAGCACUAAAACACUCACUUAAAUUGACAUUUUUCAAACCCGAUAAGCUUACAGAGGAAGAACAUUAUGAUAUUGUGCCUAGUGGACAUACUCGUUCUGAAUGGAAACCAUUGGUUCAGUAUUGGUUCUCACUCAAAGGACAGCAAUUGUCUCAACUUGGAAAAGCGGCACGAGCAACUCAAAAUCAAGUUCAUACAUUGGGUUCUACUAGUUACGCUAAUAUACGAGCUAAUUAUGAAGAUGAACAUGGAGAAGAAAUGAUUUGAUUGAACUUUGGGAAGCAACUCAUAAGAGAAAGGAUGGAACCUAUCUUGAAGGCACAGACACUUCAGACUUUUUGGAGGAUGCAAAGGCAAAGGUUGAUUCAUUAAAGCUUUGUAAUCCUUCUAUGUCUCGUGUUGACGUUGAGAAUGAAGCCUUUCAAACUGUCAUGAAUGGAGAUGAAGUACCUGAACGACCUCAGGGAUAUGGAUUUGGGGUGAAAAAAAGUGAUAUUCAUGGGGUGCGUGGUAUGCUUAGAAAAGAAGGAAAUGGAAAACAUAAAAGGAGACAUGUGGAACUAGAAAACGUUGUGGAAACAUCUUUAUUGAAAAAGAGAAAUGAGGAACUUGAAAAACAAAACAAAGACAUAACUAACAAGUUUGAUGAGCAUACUAAGAUGAUGAAGAUCGUUGCUACACAAUUUUCUCUAGUGUUGGAUGCGGUGCGUGAUGGAAAAGCUUCUGCUCAACUUAUAGAUGCUGCAAAGUCAGCUAUGCAUUUGAUUACUACAGAGGAUCAAGAUGAUGGUGAAGGAAAAGAAGCCAAGGAUCCAUUAUUAAAUUAGUACAACUCGUAAAGCUAUUAAUGAUUUGAAAAGGCCUUGUAAAAGACGAUAUAUUUCUUUUGUUCUGUUUUUUAUUUUUUUUGUAAGGUUUUAAGAAGUUGAUAGUAGACAUUAUCUAAUUGACUUAUUUGUGACCGAACAGCAUAUUUUAGUGUGUAUUUAAUCAUUAGUGAAUUAAGGCAGACAUUAAUAUUAUUAGUGAAUUAAGGCAGACAUUAAUAUUAUUAUAUAUAUUAUUGGUCAUUUCUACUUAAGUAUUUUUUAUUGGAAAAUCGCUUAUAAUAUAUUAUAUUUGAUCCAUAUCCAAUUAAAUAAUGGCUAUUAUUAUUAGAUUUUUUUUCUAGGCUAAAAUCUUGACACUUUUUUGUGUUAAGAGUUCUUUUGGCUCUAAAAAUUUAUUUGUGGAGGUAAAAUAUUCUUGAUGCUGGAAUGUGUCUAGAGCAUAUUGUGCGACGCAGAAAGGCGUUGAGAAACCCAACACAAAACAACGUCACGCAAAUUUCAAGACGCAGAAAAGUGUUG